rnacentral:rRNA from 1 species
GAUGAACGCUGGCGGCGUGCUUAACACAUGCAAGUCGAACGGGGAUUAUUUCAUUGAAGCUUCGGCAGAUUUGGCUUAAUCCUAGUGGCGGACGGGUGAGUAACGCGUGGGUAACCUGCCUUGUACAGGGGGAUAACAGUCAGAAAUGACUGCUAAUACCCGCAUAAGCGCACAGGACCGCAUGGUCCGGUGUGAAAAACUCCGGUGGUAUAAGAUGGACCCGCGUUGGAUUAGCUAGUUGGCAGGGUAACGGCCUACCAAGGCGACGAUCCAUAGCCGGCCUGAGAGGGUGAACGGCCACAUUGGGACUGAGACACGGCCCAGACUCCUACGGGAGGCAGCAGUGGGGAAUAUUGCACAAUGGGGGAAACCCUGAUGCAGCGACGCCGCGUGAAGGAAGAAGUAUCUCGGUAUGUAAACUUCUAUCAGCAGGGAAGAAAAUGACGGUACCUGA